AUUGAACGCUGGCGGCAGGCCUAACACAUGCAAGUCGAGCGAGCGGCGGACGGGUGAGUAAUGUAUGGGGACUGCCCGAUAGAGGGGGAUAACUUCUGGAAACGGUGGCUCAUACCGCAUACUUUCGUAUAACCCAUAUGGGAUUAGCUAUUAGGUAAGGUAAUGGCUUACCUAUGCGACGAUCCCUAGCUGGUCUGAGAGGAUGAUCAGCCACAAUGGGACUGAGACACGGCCCAGACGCCUACGGAGGCAGCAGUGGGGAAUAUUGGACAAAGGGGGCAAGCCUGAUACAGCCAUGCCGCGUGUAUGAAGAAGGCCCUAGGGUUGUAAAGUACUUUCAGUCGGGAGGCGUUACCGACAGAAGAAGCACCGGCUAACUCCGUGCCAGCAGCCGCGGUAAUUC
rnacentral:rRNA from 1 species